AACGAACGCUGGCGGCAGGCCUAACACAUGCAAGUCGAGCGAGGACUUCGGUCCUAGCGGCGGACGGGUGAGUAACGCGUGGGAACGUGCCCUUUGCUACGGAAUAGCCCCGGGAAACUGGGAGUAAUACCGUAUGUGCCCGAGAGGGGAAAGAUUUAUCGGCAAAGGAUCGGCCCGCGUUGGAUUAGGUAGUUGGUGGGGUAAUGGCCUACCAAGCCGACGAUCCAUAGCUGGUUUGAGAGGAUGAUCAGCCACACUGGGACUGAGACACGGCCCAGACUCCUACGGGAGGCAGCAGUGGGGAAUCUUAGACAAUGGGCGCAAGCCUGAUCUAGCCAUGCCGCGUGAGCGAUGAAGGCCUUAGGGUUGUAAAGCUCUUUCAGUGGGGAAGAUAAUGACGGUACCCACAGAAGAAGCCCCGGCUAACUUCGUGCCAGCCGCCGCGGUAACAC
rnacentral:rRNA from 1 species